UACGUAGGGACCAAGCGUUGUCCGGAAUCAUUGGGCGUAAAGAGCGUGUAGGCGGCUUGUUAAGUCUUGCGUGAAAUCUCGGGGCUCAACCCCGAGCGGUCGUGAGAAACUGGCAGGCUAGAGUGCGGGAGAGGAGAGUGGAAUUCCUGGUGUAGCGGUGAAAUGCGCAGAUAUCAGGAAGAACACCCGUGGCGAAGGCGGCUCUCUGGGACGCAACUGACGCUGAGACGCGAAAGUGUGGGGAGCAAACAGG
rnacentral:rRNA from 1 species